GUUAAAUAAGAUCAGGGAAGUCACCCAAAUGACACACAGCCAUAGGUGUUAAGUAUACAGAUACUGAAUAAUUUUCUCCCUCUGAUGACUGUUUGAAAAUCAACUAAGGGAAGCUGUGGAAGUACUGAAAUAUGGAAGGUAAGGAAAUAUAAUGCUGCUUUUCUAUAAAUGGAAAUUAGACCAAUUCUAGUAAGACACAAGCUAUAUAUCUGGAUCCCAUUGUUCUCCAAAUGGUGGAGCCCACAGGGAGAUCCCUCCUUUGCCCUCCGUCUUUCUCAAGGAGAAAGGAAGGAGUACCUCUGCCUUUGAAGACCAAGCUUCCAUUCAGUGAUGCAUAAGCUUUGGUGUAAGUGCUUACUUGGAUCUACCCCCUUGAGAAUAAUUUCUGAGUAUCUCAACCCAGGCUCUUGGCAAUGGAAUAGAAACACGCGGAUACACAGGAGGAAGAGAUGAAUGGGAUAUAAAUACUAUUUUGCUUGAUUUUGAACAUCUAAGAUUAGCACAGAAAAUGCAGAUGAUUUGAAAACUCAUGGAGUGAAAAUAUAGUGGUACAGCACAUCACAGUUUCAAGAGUAAAGCUAAAAAUCUGCAGCAAUAUUAAAAAAAAAAAAAGAAAGAGCAAAAAUAAAAAUAACCCAAUUCUUCAGGCAGGAUGCCAUUGAUUUUGUGUUCUGUAUGCUGAAUAAACAGGGGAGAUACAACAGAAAUCAUGAGAUUCAUCUGCUAUUUUUAAUAUACAGCAAUGAAUUUUCAUCCUUAAAGUGCCCCAGUGGGGGGUAGAUAUGAAUGUGGAAUAAAGGGAUGCACAGAUAUUCAGAAUGAUGAGCAGCUCAACAAAAACAUGCAAUCUACUGGCAUUAUGAAAAAUAUCAGGAUAUUAUUAAUUGUGGUAAUUUUUUCCUGUUUCAAGAGAGAGCUCUUCUCUAUUGGGAAUGUAAAUAUCCUCACUGCAGCUUUAUUAAAGGGUUUCAUAAACUAAGUUUCAUUAAAGGGAAGAUCUGCAGCAUUUCAUCAUGCCUCUAAUGUCUCGUUUGGACAGAUCUGCUCCUUGAUCUAAGCUUCUGAUACUUUUAUAUACCUGAUUCAGGGAAGCAUUUGUUUAUUCAGAAGUAACCCUUAGUAUUAACUGUAGACAUAAGCGAUUUUCUAAAUGGGAGAGGCCUCAAAGAUGUAUUUAAAUUCUUGCUUGGCUCUGGGGUUGCUUGCAGCCCUUUCUGGUGCUGUGAGACAAAACAACUGUCUCUAUUACUGAGGUGUGAGCUGUGGACUGUCAUAAUUUUAGCUGGAGGUGCCCUUCACACUUAUAUUCUGAAUACCCUUGCAUACCCGGAGCCCAGAGCUAAUGGAACCUAGCCUUUACUAGGUUUGUUUCCUUUUCUUUUCACCUAAGGGUGUAUGAAAAAAAAAAAAAAAAAAAAAAAAGCAUGCAUACAUAUUUUUUGAUUGGCUAUUGAAGAAAAGUAAGUAUGUAUAGGUCUGUCUUGGGAGCAACUACGUGUUGAGGGAAUAGCGCUGUUCUCAGGAGGAGACUUUCAUUCCGUAGUGCUCUGCUCCCAUGGAGUAACAGAACUGACCUCUGCUGAGCCAGAUUUCCCUGCCUUGAAUUCCAAAUUCCCCUUCCUUGAAACCAGUAGCAAAACCCACUGGGUAUAUCAACCAGCAUGCAUGCAAAAUAAUUUAUACCAGGUGAGUAAGAUCAGGUACUUCUACUUAUUGUAGCACUCAUUGAAAGAGCAUUUCUCCUAGUAUCUCAUCAUAUUUUGCUUCUGAUCUUCUUUUUGUAAUUAUUUUGUCCUUUAAUUUUUGUCCCUUGUGCUAUAAAGUGGUUUGUGGGAUAUUUCUUGUGGCUGCUUUUUACUUUUCACAGCAACUCAGUAUGCAAGAAGGUUUAAAAAUAUUCCCUUUAAAAUGAAUUCCAAAUGAAAUUCGUCUUCAGCAAUUUGACUGUUGGAAAUGAGUACAUCGUGUUACAAGAGGAAUUCUUUCUUGUUAGCUGAUUAGAUGGUAAAGCAUUUCACACAGUCAAACUGAGUUGUGAAUCUUCUUCCCAUAUAAGCUCUGCCACUGCUUUUCUGUGAUUGCUUUGGGCAAGUCAUGUUGCUUCUCAAUGCCCUUUUUAACUUUUGAUGUGUUUUGCCUGUAAUGUCUAUUUAGGUUGUAAUUUCUGAGGGCCAUACAUUGUUAGUUUUUUUACCUUAGAGAUGUUACACACAUACAUACCCUUCCGCUUCCUUCAGAAGAGUGAAGAGGAACCAUAAGGCAGACUGCUUAAAAUUGCCUAUCUCAGGCUUCCUUACACUGCUGACAUCAAACUUUCACAGCAGGUUUUAUUCCAAAGGAAGGCAAUCAAUAUUUCUGCUUACCUUGCAUGGAGCAAAUGAAAGAUUUAUCACAAAGAAUCUGCUAAUCUACAUCAAAUAUCCUAUUUUUCAGUUUUACUUCUGUCUGUGAUAUCCCUUUCUUAUGGAAUCACAAAUGUGGAGAAAAAGAAGCUUAAUCUAUCCUUUGGUAUCCUGAUCUGUUGGAACCCCCCUAAAACGUAUGAGGACAGAUUGGAGUGAAAAGGAAGCUGUAUCUUAUUGGUGCUAAACUAGCAUAACAUUCCCGAAUGGUUUUUUUCGCAACUCAAAUGCAGUGGAGGAUGUGGAGUCCAAUCUAGAGGACAAAAUUCACCCCCAUUGGCAAGCUGGUGAAUGCCAAAACUCUCUGCUCUCUUGAGGCACCGCCUGCGUCAGGAGGAGGUAAGGGACGUUGCUGUCAGAUUAGGCUGACAUCUGCUGGGGAGAGCCCCAAGGCAGGGAGGCAGUGGAGGCCCAGGCUACCAGCCCAGCUGAUUGAAGGCCAACCCUGCUCUGAGGCUCAGAGCAGGCUGGGGGAACCCACCUGUGGGGUAUGGGGUCCUCCUGCUGCAGAAGACUGGACCCUGGCAGCCAUGCAGACAAGUUCAGGGAAGGGGGACACCUCUGCUUUUGUCUCUCCUUUUUCUCUAAUUUCCCUUCCACUUGCCAUCUCUUGUUCUCCUUGAAGUGUUUCUCCCUCAGCCACAGGAAACCUCACCCACUCUACCUAUUUUUGCCCACUGGCAUGUGGGCAGGUAUACCUGCCCUGUAUGCCUUAGCUCAGCACUGCAUCAUGGAGCAAGCACUUUUGUUCAGAGCUCUUUUUAAAGGUAAUAAUAAUAAUAAUAAUAAUAAAAAGAGAGAGAGAGAGAAAAAAAAAAGAAAAAGAAAAAAAAGAAAGAGAAGAAAAGAAACACGCACUCUGAAGCCUGAAUAGCAGUGUUUCUGUCAUCUGUUGUCAUGACACACAGCUGACGUGGGAACACGACAGUAAGGCUGACUGCUAGAUGGGUUUAAUUUUGGUGCAGAAAUUUGCUAGAAGAAGCUUUCAAAAAUAUCUCUGGGUGGGAGGAAAACAGGUGGGUGCUGGUUGUGUGUACGUAGCAGGAGGAAAUAGUUGUCAAUCUUACCCAAGCAUUACUCCACAUCCAUCAGCCCUUUGGUACCCUCUCUACUCAAUGAGGGAAACAAGUGAUGCUGUAUCUCGUUGUUCCUCUCUCCUGCUACUUUUGGAGAAAGUGCUGGUGGAACAGAGUGCAGAGAGAGAACAUAGAAUGACUGAAUAGCAACAUGGUUGGCUUGGUCAAAGUACACAUUGUUUGCUCUAUCUUGGUAAAGACAUCCGUACUCAGCACAGGAAGACAAUGUCAGUAUCAUCCAUUGAAGCCAAAUAAUGGUGAGAUCCUUUCAGGAGAGACUUGUGGGCAACUGAGUCUGAAAUGACAGCUAAUGUUGGAGAAUGGCCCUCAUGGUGAGUAGUGAAUGAUCUGUAGGAAAACCGAGAUGUAGUUUCUGUGGUUGUGGUUGUCCAUCUGGGUGAGUGAGUGGACUCAGUAUCAUGGGUGGACUUCUCAGCACUGUGUUUUCAUUUCCCAUACACAUCUUUGUUUCAAAAAGGUCUCAUUUUUCCCCUUCAGUAUCUGUAGGCAAUUCAUACUGGCUUCUAGAUGUUCCUAAGCAGUCACAGACUUUGCUGGCUACCAAAGAACGUAGGUGUCCAGAAAUAUUCUCUAAAAAUCACUCUGCUAACCCAUUUGAAGCUCAUUUUCCUCUUCUACAAACUACUCUAUAUUAGCACAUUUCUCAUCUCUUAGUCUUUGUCAUCUUGACUAAUGACUUUACUCAUCUGUACUAGUUUACUCACUCGUUUCAAUACUUUGCUAGAUCACAGGAACAUUUUGUGACUUAAUUAAAUUAUCAGUUAGAGCUCAGAGGUCUUUGAAUGAAAACUGUUAUGUUCUGUAACAGCAGAAUACUAUGAUUACAGUUCUGGAAAACAUACUACAGUGUAGAGACUUCAUUUCUCUUUCAUAUUUGCUGUUUGGACAUUGGCAGAAGUGAUGGUGGUGAGACUGGAGCUGAAGACUCCAACCUCAACUCUGAGCAAAAAGCUUGGAAAAAAAACCAUUGUUUGAGACAGAGAAGAUUGAAAGAAAACCAUUGCAAAUCAUUUGUAUGAACUGAUAAAAGCAGGGAAGGAAGAGAAAGAGCUUUGGAGAGGAGACGUGGAGGAAGAGGACACAAGUCUGUGUGAGCAAGAGAGUAGUUCAUGUUUCUUGUGAACUAUAGAUUCUACCUGAUGUGGUCAUAAUCCAAUGGGAAACUAUAGCGUUUCCUUUAAUCUCAUUCUCAUUGUGUCUUAACUUUGUCUGAAAAUCUGAUUUGACCCAUAUCAUGGCUGUAUUCUCAGUAUGUCAAAUGCCUCCUUUCUGCCCCCUACUAGAAGCCCCAUUUGAGAAGCUUUGUUAAAUGGAAAAUGUAUUAUCAAUGAUUCCCUUGCAUCUUUGUUGUUUGUUUGUUUGUUUGUUUCAUUCCCCUCCAUUUGUAAUCCUCACAUUCUUCUUUCUGUUUGUAGCCUCUGCUCUGUAUAUUCCAUGACGUGCUCAAAAAUUCUGAAUAAUUUCCACUGUGGAUUCUAAAAACGAUUUACCAUUUCCAGAAAGCGGCAGCAACAAUCAGUCUCUUAUGCAGAUUGCCACCUUGUUGCUACUUGCCAAACUGUCUCAUAUUUCUCACAGCUCACAACUGGUACACCCUGGGACUCCUGACCUUCCUUCUGGAAGUGUGCAAGCCAUUACCGUAUACAUUUAUGCUGGCUGAAGUAGCUGUUGAUUUUAUGUAGGCUAGGAGGUGUUGACCCAGCUCCUUACCAAACUCCCCCUUCUACUUAGUCCAGGACACAUCCAUCUGGUUCAGCCAUCAGAAGAUGCGUUUGCUGUUCAGUGACAACUUUGAAAGGAAGUCUAUGCUUGACUCUCCUCUCCUCUGCCUGCUCCAGACUGAAGGUAAAAUGACUGCAUGUCUGAAGACAGCAGAUGUCUCAGAGAUGUAAAUGUUCAGCACUCCUGAAUCAAAGCCACAGCAUAACUGAAUACACUACUGUAUAAAGAAAAUAUUGACUGUCUUUGUAUUUGUUUGCUUUCUGUGUAGGGGUAGAAAAUACUAGUAAUGUUUAAACACCUCUUUAGAGUCAUUACAAGAUAUUGUGCAAAUAUAGUAAAUUUUCCCCAGUAAGCAGGCAUGAAAUAUACAUUUGCUUAUCAGAACGAAACAGUUCCAGGGGAGGCCUUGAUGUCUG
ensembl:lncRNA